GCAGAGCGCAGGCUGCACCCCAGUUGCCGCAGCUUCUGCAGCCGCAGCACCAAGGCAGUAACGCAGGCUGCUGAAGCGGGGAGGAGACACCGGGCAAUGCUGCCCUGCUCGGGGUUCUACUGCAGGGGCCGGGAGAGAUGCGUGGGAAGCGACACACAGGACCGCCCCCACACGGGCAGCGGGGGGCUGUGCACUCGCCGCCGGAGCCCAGAGUGAGGCCGAGCCUGUUGGAGGCUGACUACGGCGCCUGCCAAGGGCUAAAAAGCUCUCUUCCGGGGGUGUGGCCUCGCGGGAGUGGGCGGGGCUUCCAGUGCGCUCUGCUGCGCCGUAGCCGCGUGCGGUGUGGGGCGCGCUACUCCGGAGGUAGAAUCUGCGGCUCCUUGCUGGAGGGGCUGCCGGCUUUCUUGCUUCCUCUGCUGCACCGUGUGCUCAAGCCUCGAGACUUGGCUAGCAGGUAACUGGAAGCUAUCCCGUUCUGGGCAGGAGGUGAAGAGGGUAGAAGGGAGUUGAUGGGGCACGUGGAGAACGUGGUGGCCGGGUAUCCGGAGCCAACAUUCAUGAAAGCCCCUCUGGAGUGACUUUGGGAAGUAUCCCUACCUCCCCAAAGCUGCUGCUGCGGUCUUCCAAACCGUUUAAAGUUUUCGUAGCCAGAUCUCCCAGCUUUCCGGUGGGUUUGUUCUCAGUGAGAAAGAAGGGAGUUUAUCCUCUUACAAGAGAAGACUAUGCAAAUCUGACGACUGUGUUUUUUCUUCAUUCAAAGUUUGGCGGCAGUUUGCUGAUAAGGGCAUACUUACCGUCGCUUCUGUUUUCUUAAUUGUUGGCACCCUUGAUAGUGAGGAGAGGGGUUGGUGAUAAAAUUUUUCUUUAAAAAGAAAAACCUAAAUGGCCGUCAUAGUUCUGGGUGGUUCUUUGCUCUUUGAAGAGAGCAGAGAAAGUUAGAGCUUAAGGAAAGGCGGAGCACUUUGAGGGGACAUGAAAAGUGGAUAGGGACUGGGUGUGGCCUUGCAAGCCACCAGAAAUCACCCCCACUGUCAGUAUCAAGUCCCUGCGCUUGCACCCAACCACUAGCUAUUGAUACAUCUAUUUCGGAUUAAGAAAUCCCUUUGAGAAUUUGACUAACCUUCAGAAAUUAUAAAGAGACCCACGGGAGAGCAUUAUAAAGGAUAAUUAGGAAGAUUCUUACUGUGGUAUCUCCUAAUAAGUUUCCUAGAGGGAGAACUGUACUUCCAACACUCCAAAACUCUCUGGUGGGUGUAGGAGCAGGUCACUGCCCUUUUGAGUAUUUUGCUAAUCUCAUCGGUUAUGCAGUUGGGACCAUUCUUAGCACGAGUGCCUCAGCUAAAUGGUGUGUGACAAGCAGAAAACUGUUUAAAAACAAAAAAAAGUCUGAUGUGAGUUCUCGAGAAUCUGAGGAAGCUAACACCUGUACACAAAUACUUGUUAUAUAAUGCAAAAAAAAUGCAAAAAUUGGAUUCUACUUAUAGAUGGACUAGUGAAUGAUUGCACUGGCCUUAUCGAAUGCAUUUUCUGCAGAGAAACACAGUGCCCUCUGUACUUUGUUUUUGCUGCAGAAGGGGGCCACUCGGUAAGAUGGCACAGUGUUGUUUCUUGGCCAUAAGCUCAGAAAGAAUUCAGAGAUGACUAUCUGGCUUGUGGCAGGCUCUAGAGUCCUUUGGACCUACAGUUCCCAAUGACACUUUGUUUUCUACUUUUCAGUAUGACUCUGCUUCUCAUCGUAAUUACAUUUAAGCUCAGACAGUCCUGAGAGAGGCAGAACUUCUUCAACUAGUUUUUCUGGCCUGGUUCCUGCUUCAUUUUCACACCACCUAUCAGGUUCUGACAGGUUCUCUAAAGUAUAUUUUGCCCACUUCCCAUACUCGAUCGUAAACUCCAUUAAAAGCAGAGAUGUUAUUUUGUUUGCCUCUGUAUUUCCAACAGUGAGAGGAUGGUUUGGCCCAGAGGUUAGGCUUAGAGUUGGGUCUUUAUCAAGACCUCAGUGGAUAGUUACUUGGUGAGAAGCAGAAGUUAAAUGUCCUAAGCUCUGUUAAUUGAAGAGAAUGACAUAUCAGACGAUUAGCCUUCUGUUAAAUUGAUGAGAUGAAUUGUUAGGGACAUAACAAUUAUCUGGACAUAAAAUGCCUACGAUGUUUCAGAGGGUCGAUGUUAAAGGCCUGAGCUAACGCAGAAAAAAGGGGAAUAAUAGAGAACACACUGCUAAUAGUCUUCUGUUAGGUGAUCAAAGGAGACAGCCAGAGUGGAAUGAGUCAGGCUCGUGAUUAGAGCAAGUUUAGGUCAUUCUUCAGAAAGAUACUGUGACUUGGCUUUCGCUGUCUCCCCUGGCCUCCAGCUACUUGAACAUUUAAAUGAGCAAGGUUGUGUGUACAAGAGGAUGUUACAUUUCAGUCACAAUUAUAACUCACAACAUUUUAGAUCUAGGAAGAAUUGCAGAGGUGAGCGCACCAUCUUCCAGGAGAUUAUGUGUACAGUUGGUUUGGAGAGACUUGAACAACGCCCAUUUUCAGAUCUCUUGGAACAGAUUCUGAACGGAAGUUUUGAGGCAGGACUCUGAGCUGGCAGUCAGGCAGCAUCCUGAGGUGAUGGUGGCAGUGCUGCUUUGUCGAUCUAGUGUUUUCGAUUUCAGAUUUGGGGCUGGAAAGACGACCCGAGUUCAGUUCCUAGCGACCACAGCGAGUGGCUCACAAGCCCUGAUGGCCUGGCAUCCUCUUCUGACCUGCCUGGGCACCUGCAUUUCUCCGCACAUACCCACACACAUUUUAAGAUUUUGAAAUUCAGAACUUUUUGCAGUUGCCAAUUUCCCUCAUUGAUCUGGGAUUAAAAAAAUAGGUUGUUGCCGGGCAGUAGUGGUGCACGCCUUUAAUCUCAGCACGUGGGAGGCAGAGGCAGGCGGAUUUCUGAGUUCAAGGCCAACCUGGACUACAAAGUGAGUUCCAGGAUAGCCAGAGCUCUACAGAGAAACCCUGUCUCGGAAAAACAAACAAACAAAAAAAUAGGUUGUCAAUGACUUUAGACAUGUGUUCCCAGAAGUAAAAUAUAGGUAGGGCAUUGAAAGGCCUUCCUCCGCCUGUGUACGCUCACCUUUGGUAGGAAUUGUUUGAGAUGAGAUCAGAUGACCUUUAUAACCAUUUCCUCUUCUACAAAGCAAGGAGGUUGAAUCUACUGUGAUUCUUCGUUUAGCCAGGACCAAAUAAUGAAGCCUUGGAAUGGGUCACUUAUUGUAUAUAGAGAUGCCAACAUAUCUCAAAGGAGCGGAUGCUUUGAAGGAAGAAUUAAGAGUUGCUCGGUGCCUGACCAAAAGGAUCAAAGCUAGUUGAGUAAAUGACUGAGUUGGAUUAGGCCGUUCUAAACAAAUUUGGGUAAUGAGGAAAUCGAGAAAUAAAAAACUCUUCAUUCACAAAGUUUGGGAGCUGGGGCCAUGUCCCAUCUAUUAAGGACAUUGAAGCAGAAGGAUAUAAAUUCAAGGCCUGCCUAGGCUGUAGAAAGGGCUCAAGUCCACACUGGGAAACUAUCAAGUCUGUCCUCAAGAAGUAAAUAUGUAAAUAAAUAGAAAUUAGAAGACUGAGACUAAAGUUUAGUAGUGGACGUUUACCAGUGUGUGUGUGAAGCUCUGGGUUCAACCCCUCUUCUCCCAGCCACACACCUUCCCUUGAAAAAGUCUGACAGGUUG
rnacentral:lncRNA from 1 species